AAUUGACCUCGGAUCAGGUAGGGAUACCCGCUGAACUUAAGCAUAUCAAUAAGCGGAGGAAAAGAAACCAAUAGGGAUUGCCUCAGUAACGGCGAGUGAAGCGGCAACAGCUCAAAUUUUGAAAUCUGGCCCCUGCGGGGUCCGAAUUGUAAUUUGUAGAGAGUGCUUCGGGCGAGGCUGCGGUCUAAGUCCAUUGGAACAUGGUGUCAUAGAGGGUGAGAAUCCCGUAUGCGACCGUGGCUCGAGCCCAUGUGAAGCCUCUUCGACGAGUCGAGUUGUUUGGGAAUGCAGCUCAAAAUGGGUGGUAAAUUUCAUCUAAAGCUAAAUACUGGCUGGAGACCGAUAGCGCACAAGUAGAGUGAUCGAAAGAUGAAAAGCACUUUGGAAAGAGAGUCAAACAGUACGUGAAAUUGUUGAAAGGGAAGCGCUUGCAACCAGACCUGCCCGUGGGCGAUCAGCCGCUGUUCUCAGCGGUGCACUCGCUCUGCGAUCAGGCCAGCAUCGGUUUCGGCGGCCGGAUAAAGGCCUUGGGAAUGUAGCUUCCCUCCGGGGAAGUCUUAUAGCCCUCGGUGCAAUGCGGCCAGCCGGGACCGAGGACCGCG
rnacentral:rRNA from 1 species